GUUGUGCCCUUGAGGCGUGGCUUCCGGAGCUAACGCGUUAAGUCGACCGCCUGGGGAGUACGGCCGCAAGGUUAAAACUCAAAUGAAUUGACGGGGGCCCGCACAAGCGGUGGAGCAUGUGGUUUAAUUCGAUGCAACGCGAAGAACCUUACCUACUCUUGACAUCCAGAGAACUUAGCAGAGAUGCUUUGGUGCCUUCGGGAACUCUGAGACAGGUGCUGCAUGGCUGUCGUCAGCUCGUGUUGUGAAAUGUUGGGUUAAGUCCCGCAACGAGCGCAACCCUUAUCCUUUGUUGCCAGCGAUUCGGUCGGGAACUCAAAGGAGACUGCCAGUGAUAAACUGGAGGAAGGUGGGGAUGACGUCAAGUCAUCAUGGCCCUUACGAGUAGGGCUACACACGUGCUACAAUGGCAUAUACAAAGAGAAGCGACCUCGCGAGAGCAAGCGGACCUCAUAAAGUAUGUCGUAGUCCGGAUUGGAGUCUGCAACUCGACUCCAUGAAGUCGGAAUCGCUAGUAAUCGUGGAUCAGAAUGCCACGGUGAAUACGUUCCCGGGCCUUGUACACACCGCCCGUCACACCAUGGGAGUGGGUUGCAAAAGAAGUAGGUAGCUUAACCUUCGGGAGGGCGCUUACCACUUUGUGAUUCAUGACUGGGGUGAAGUCGUAACAAGGUAACCGUAGGGGAACCUGC
rnacentral:rRNA from 1 species